rnacentral:rRNA from 1 species
AACGAACGCUGGCGGCAUGCCUAACACAUGCAAGUCGAACGAGACCUUCGGGUCUAGUGGCGCACGGGUGCGUAACGCGUGGGAACCUGCCCUUAGGUUCGGAAUAACUCCCCGAAAGGGGUGCUAAUACCGGAUAAUGUCUUCGGACCAAAGAUUUAUCGCCUUUGGAUGGGCCCGCGUUGGAUUAGCUAGUUGGUAGGGUAAAAGCCUACCAAGGCGACGAUCCAUAGCUGGUCUGAGAGGAUGAUCAGCCACACUGGGACUGAGACACGGCCCAGACUCCUACGGGAGGUAGCAGUGGGGAAUAUUGGACAAUGGGCGAAAGCCUGAUCCAGCAAUGCCGCGUGAGUGAUGAAGGCCUUAGGGUUGUAAAGCUCUUUUACCCGGGAUGAUAAUGACAGUACCGGGAGAAUAAGCUCCGGCCAACUCCGUG